GGCCUGAUAGCACAAGUGGAUAGUGCCUCUCCUUACCUUAUGCUUGGACAUACUGUAAAGAUCAAGGGGAAGAUCCCCGUUCAAUUCCGGGUCAGGCCC